CUCGGUGUAGCGCAGUCUGGUAGCGCGCCUGCUUUGGGAGCAGGAUGUC
rnacentral:tRNA from 1 species